rnacentral:rRNA from 1 species
AUUGAACGCUGGCGGCAUGCCUAACACAUGCAAGUCGAACGGCAGCACAGCAGUAGCAAUACUGUGGGUGGCGAGUGGCGGACGGGUGAGGAAUGCGUCGGAAUCUGCCCAGUCGUGGGGGAUAACUAGCCGAAAGGUUAGCUAAUACCGCAUACGACCGAGAGGUGAAAGCGGGGGACCGCAAGGCCUCGCGCGAUUGGAUGAGCCGACGUCGGAUUAGCUAGUUGGCGGGGUAAAGGCCCACCAAGGCGACGAUCCGUAGCUGGUCUGAGAGGAUGAUCAGCCACACUGGAACUGAGACACGGUCCAGACUCCUACGGGAGGCAGCAGUGGGGAAUAUUGGACAAUGGGCGCAAGCCUGAUCCAGCAAUG